AUAGAGUGGUGAUCAUGAUUAUUUGGCUUAAAGUGUGCGUAGCAGGGAAUUCUAAGUCCUCUGUGAAAUGUCAGGUCUUAAGCUUGACACGUGCAGAGGAUACUGGAAUCCUUGGGACUGGGAUAGGUGUAAUGUACGGUUUGGGUAGGGGUGAAAUCCGAUAAUCCAAGCCGGACAACCGGUGGCGAAGGCGUUACACUGGAACAGGUCCGACUGUGAGGCACGAAAGCUACGGUCGCGAGCCGGAUUACAUACCCGGGUAGUCCUAUGCUGUAAACGAUGCUCACUAAGUGUUAGGUAAUGCAAGACAUUCUCUAGUGCCGAAGCGAAAGCGUUAAGUGAGCCGCCUGGGAAGUACGUUCGCAAGAAAUGAAACUUAAAGGAAUUGGCGGGGGCCUACUACAAGAAGUGGAGCCUGCGGUUUAAUUGGACUCAACUCCGGGAAACUCACCUGGGCCGUAACACGGAUGAUUGUCCUGUUGAAGACACUGCUUGACGUGUUACUGGAGGUGCAUGGCCAUCGUCAGUUCGUGCCGUGAGGUGUCCUGUUAAGUCAGGCAACGAACGAGAUCCCUGCCGUCAAUUGCCAGCGAGACCAACUUGGUCCGUCGGGGACAUUGGCGGGACUGCUCCCCGAAAAAUUGAGGAAGGGAAAGGAAGGGCCCAACGGUAGGUCCAGUUAUGCCCCGAUAUGCCCAGGCUACAACGCGGGGCUACAAUGGCUGGUACAAAGGGUCCCGACACCGAAAGGUGAAGGUAAUCUCUUAAAACCAGUCUCAGUUGAGAUUGUGGGCUGCAACUCGCCCACAUGAACUUGGAAUUUUUAGUAAGCGCACGUCAACAGCGUGCACUGAAUACGUCCUUGGGCCUUGCACACACCGCCCGUCGCAGCACGCGAGACGGGCCUGCCAGAGGGUACAGCUUAAUACUGUAUUCGAUGGUCGGUUUGUUGAGCAGGGUGAAGUCG
rnacentral:rRNA from 1 species